UCCUCCCCCUUUGUACACACCGCCCGUCG
rnacentral:rRNA from 10 species